GUGCUUGCUUCAACAGCACAUAUACUAAAAUUGGAAUGAUAAAUAGGAGAUUAGCAUGGCCCCUGCACAAGGAUGACACGCAAAUUCAUGAAGCGUUCCAUAUUUCU